UGAACUUCCACUUGUAACUAUAAGGCGUGGGGUCUCUUAAGAUAUUGAUAAAACUUGUUAUAAAUGGCCACGUAUCAGUAACAUCAAGGAAGCCUGAUUGAAUUGAUUUCCACUUAGCAGCUGGCUCCUAUAUUGGCAGAACUGAGUCCUCUCUUAGUUUAAUGUGGAAAGUUCUGUGAGAGACAGUGUAACAAUUCAAUAUAAUUUGCCACCACAUACAAUUGGAGUUUUAAUUUGGGGACCGUUUUCUUUCACAGAAACCUUCAGUGUCUGUGAUAUUGCCACAUGACAUAUCACCCGUCAGUACGUCCCGAAAGUGUUACGUUACGCCCUCGUCGCAAUACGCAUUAAUUUUACGACAGGCUGUAGUCUGUUUUCGGCUGCUAUAUUACGUCGGAGAGCGAGACGUGCUGCUCCUCCCUUUCUCCUCGCGCGAAGAUGGCCGGCGGGACUUUGUACACAUACCCUGAUAACUGGAGGGCAUACAAGCCCCUCAUCGCUGCUCAGUAUUCGGGGUUUCCCAUCAAGGUUGCCUCCUCUGCUCCAGAAUUCCAGUUUGGGGUAACAAAUAAGACACCCGAGUUUCUAAAGAAAUUCCCCUUAGGCAAGGUACCAGCAUUUGAGGGCAAAGACGGUUUUUGCCUUUUUGAGAGCAGUGCCAUUGCUCAUUAUGUGGGUAAUGAUGAGCUCCGUGGAACCACUCGUUUACACCAAGCUCAGGUCAUUCAGUGGGUUAGCUUCUCAGACAGUCACAUUGUCCCUCCGGCCAGCGCAUGGGUUUUUCCCACUCUUGGGAUCAUGCAGUAUAAUAAGCAGGCCACAGAACAAGCCAAGGAGGAGAUCAAGACUGUGCUUGGUGUUUUAGAUUCUCAUCUGCAGACACGGACAUUCCUAGUCGGCGAGAGGAUCACACUGGCUGAUAUAACUGUUACAUGCUCUCUUCUGUGGCUCUAUAAGCAGGUCCUGGAACCAUCCUUCCGCCAGCCUUUUGGUAAUGUCACAAGGUGGUUUGUGACCUGUGUGAAUCAGCCAGAGUUCCGUGCUGUGUUGGGAGAAGUAAAACUUUGUGACAAGAUGGCACAGUUUGAUGCCAAGAAGUUUGCCGAGAUGCAGCCCAAAAAAGAGACUCCCAAGAAAGAGAAGCCAGCAAAGGAGCCCAAAAAAGAAAAGGAGGAAAAGAAGAAAGCAGCACCUACUCCUGCCCCAGCCCCUGAGGAUGACCUGGAUGAAUCUGAAAAGGCUUUAGCAGCAGAGCCUAAAUCAAAGGACCCAUAUGCACAUCUACCUAAAAGCUCCUUUAUAAUGGAUGAGUUUAAGAGGAAAUAUUCAAAUGAAGAUACCCUGACUGUUGCUCUGCCUUAUUUCUGGGAGCACUUUGACAAGGAAGGCUGGUCCAUCUGGUACGCAGAGUAUAAAUUUCCAGAGGAGCUGACACAAGCCUUUAUGAGCUGCAACUUAAUUACAGGUAAGAAGUUGUAUGUAAACACAGUGCUGCCUUCAAAGUGGUGAUUACCAGUGAAGACAUGCAGCUAGGCAAAGGCUGCUGGUUUCAGGGAUUAGACAAUCUCAUGGAGAUGUAAAACCUAGUUAUAAAGAAACUGAUGCCCCUGUAGCAAAGCAGCACAAUCUUGCUUGCUAGCCGUAUUCCUAAAAUUAAAAAUUAUUUUUAAAUAUUUCUAGGCUUGUAUGUAUCUGGCAGCUGCUGUAAUGCUUGCCUUGAACAAUUAAUUCUAUGUAGCACCUAACUAAAGCCAUUCAGUGACUUCAUGCAAGCAUAUUGCCAUAUUCUUUUUGGCAAGCCUUUGUGGUAAACUUUGCCCUGAAAAAUAGGUGGACUGGCAGAAAUGCUUGUUCAAACAAGGUUUGAACUUGCCAAACACUGGGCAAGCAUUUAGCUGGUCAUAACCCAUAUCAACCAAUCAGAAUUGACCUGGUCAGUCAGCUGUGGUCUUUGCUUUACUACAUGGGUGCUAAUUUGCCCAGUGUCUGUAAAUUAGCCACGUCAAUUGCAGACCUGACUAGCAUUUUUUGAUAAUCAUAAACUAAGGUUAUUGUUGAUCUAACCAGAGGGAUCUUGGUAACAUAGUAAGUAAGGUUGAAAAAAGACACAUGUCCAAGUCCAAAUUUGCCUCAGGGGGAAAAAAUUCCUUCCUGACAAAAUGGCAAUCGGACUACUCCCUGGAACAACUUGUACUAAGAGCUAUCUCCCAUAACCCUGUAUUCCCUCAAUUGCUAAAAAGCCAUCCAAUCCCUUCUUAAAGCUAUCUAAUGUAUCAGCCUGUACAACUGAUUCAGGGAGAGAAUUCCACCUCUUCACAGCUCUCACUGUAAAAAAAACCCUUCCGAAUAUUUAGGCGGAACCUCUUUUCUUCUAAUAGGAAUGGGUGACCUCGUGUCAGCUGGAAAGACCUACUGGUAAAUAAAGCAUUAGAGAUAUUAUAUGAUCCCCUUAUAUAUUUAUACAUAGUUAUCAUAUCACCCCUUAAGCGCCUCUUCUCCAGCGUGAACAUCCCCAAUUUAGCCAGUCUUUCCUCAUAGCUAAGAUUUUUCCAUACCUUUCAUGAGCUUAGUUGCCCUUCUCUGUACCCUCUCUAAUACAAUAAUAUCCUGUUUGAGUGAUGGGGACCAAAACUGUACGGCAUAUUCUAGAUGGGGCCUUACCCGUGCUCUAUACAGUGGAAGAAUGACCCCCUCCUCCCUUGACUCUAUGCCCCUUUUAAUACAGCUCAAGACCUUAUUUGCCCUUGAUGCAGCUGACUGGCAUUGCUUGCUACAGCCAAGUUUAUCAUCUACAAGGACUCCAAGAUCCUCUUCCAUAAUGGAUUUGCCUAGUGCAGUCCCAUUAAGGGUAUAAGUGGCUUGGAUAUUUUUACAUCCCAGGUGCAUGACUUUACAUUUAUCAACAUUGAAUCUCAUUUGCCACUUAGCUGCCCAGAUUGCCAGUUUGUCAAGAUCAUGUUGCAAGGAUGCCACAUCCUGGAUGGAAUUAAUUGGGCUGGAUAGUUUUGUGUCAUCUGCAAACACUGAUACAUUACUUACAACACCCUCCCCUAAGUCAUUAAUGAACAAGUUAAAUAAAAGUGGACCUAAUACCGAGCCCUGGGGGACCCCACUAAGAACCUUACUCCAAGUAGAGAAUGUACCAUUAACAGCCACCCUCUGUACCCGAUCCUGUAGCCAGUUUCCUAUCCAUGUGCAAAAGACUUCAUUAAGCCCAACAGAUCUUUCCUUGACUGAGGAAACAUUGCUUUUAUGUAGAUGAAUAGGAAACUUUACUUGAAUGUAGAUGAAUUAAAAUGCUGAAGAAUAAUCUAUGGCCAAGGUUUAGUAAACCUAAAAGCCACUCGACUGUUUUGUUUCCUGAAAUCUGUUUUGAAUCAAUCCUUCCAAUGUAUUGAAUGGCCCCAACAAUUAAUAUCUUAUUCCUAUUAAUCCUCCAAUGCAUGUUGUGGUGCUGCUGCUGAUGGCAAACUAUUGUGGUCUGUAUUCAGGUGUUCCAUGUAGACAGAUUGUUAAACAGUUAACUCAUUUGUUCAUUCCCAUCUGUUGAGUCUUAACAACUUUUCCAUAAAUUCACAUAGCAGUUAUUGGCAGUCAUUUUGUGUUGAUCGGACACGAUUAGAUGGAAAUUAACUAGGGGAUGUUCCUGUGUGGCACACGCAGCAUUUAAUCUGACAAAAUAAGGGACUGGGAUAAAUGAGAUUUGCAGGCUGGAGAUGCAUUUAAAAGUAGAAAAUGUCCUGUUGAAGCAUGUCAUUCUCAAGAAGCUUGUCUGUUCUACCAGCCAAUUCUUGCUUUGAAAAUGUCCAUGUAUGGGCUGUACAGCUGUUCUGUAUCUUAUAUAUUUUUUUUUCAUAUCUCCAUUCCAAUACACGAUGUGACCUAUAACAUCUGUGGAAGCUAGUGAGGGCUCCUGUAAAAAUGUUUUAUCUGGACUUUAAAAUAAUAAAAAAUAACUUAACCAGAAAUACUUAAAGCAUUACAUUUAGAUUAAUGUAAGGCAAGUGUCAUGUGGCCCUAAUAUGGUUUAUUGGGAUUAAUAUAAUUAAAUAGAAUCCCAAAUGCUUCCUUUCGUUAACAUACUUUUUUAAUUUGCAUUUUGAAUGCUGCUAAUGCAUCAGUUUUACUGUGGAUUAUACUAAAUUAGUAAAAUCCAGAAGGCAAUGAACACUCUCCCAAUCUGUAGUUUUAUGCUUGCAUUGGUGCUCAGCUCAGGCUUUUCUCUGCUUUUUUUCUAGGUAUGUUCCAGCGUCUAGACAAACUGCGUAAAACUGGCUUUGCCAGUGUCAUCUUGUUCGGGACCAACAAUAACAGCUCCAUCUCUGGUGUGUGGGUGUUCAGAGGCCAAGACCUUGCUUUUACAGUGAGUAUUGCUUGUAUCACAGAGGCUAUGUUUGGGAAGUGAAAUGUCAUGGGGUUAGAUACUCCAACAUAAAUGAUUGUAGAAAAAAGGCAUUAGACAUAAAUAAAGAUACUGUGGGAGCUGCUGUAUGGGGUGAAUGUAGAGACAAGGACAGAGAAUGAGCACAGCUGUGGUUUAUUUUGAGUAACGAACUGCAAACCCAGUGUACCACUUGGUAAAUAUUGUCACUUUAAUUACUACUGCAACAUUCCAUUUCAGCUCUCUGAAGACUGGCAAAUUGAUUACGAAUCCUACAACUGGAGAAAGCUGGAUAGUGGUAGUGAGGAGUGCAAAACCCUGGUCAAAGAAUACUUUGCCUGGGAAGGAGAAUUCAAGAAUGUGGGCAAGCCCUUUAACCAGGGCAAGAUCUUCAAAUGAGAAGGAGGCUACCUUGGUCCCUGAAAUACGCGAGUCUGGUUUUCACAUCUGUUCCAACAUCCAGAGCCUUUUAACUUAACGAGACAGCAAACGGAAAAUAAAAAAACUGAAAUAGAAAA